CAGUCGCCACGGUAAUACGAGGGGGGCAAGCGUUGUUCGGAAUUAUUGGGCGUAAAGGGCGCGUAGGCGGUUUGACAAGUCUGAUGUGAAAUCUCUGGGCUCAACCCAGAGUCUGCAUCGGAAACUGUCGAGCUUGAGUAUGGGAGAGGUGAGUGGAAUUUCCGGUGUAGCGGUGAAAUGCGUAGAUAUCGGAAGGAACACCUGUGGCGAAAGCGGCUCACUGGACCAUUACUGACGCUGAGGCGCGAAAGCUAGGGGAGCAAACAGGAUUAGAUACCCCCGUAGUCCCUGUCUCUUAUAC
rnacentral:rRNA from 1 species